rnacentral:rRNA from 1 species
CAGAGAUGGAUUGGUGCCUUCGGGAACUCUGAGACAGGUGCUGCAUGGCUGUCGUCAGCUCGUGUUGUGAAAUGUUGGGUUAAGUCCCGCAACGAGCGCAACCCUUAUCCUUUGUUGCCAGCGGUUAGGCCGGGAACUCAAAGGAGACUGCCAGUGAUAAACUGGAGGAAGGUGGGGAUGACGUCAAGUCAUCAUGGCCCUUACGAGUAGGGCUACACACGUGCUACAAUGGCGCAUACAAAGAGAAGCGACCUCGCGAGAGCAAGCGGACCUCAUAAAGUACGUCGUAGUCCGGAUUGGAGUCUGCAACUCGACUCCAUGAAGUCGGAAUCGCUAGUAAUCGUAGAUCAGAAUGCCACGGUGAAUACGUUCCCGGGCCUUGUACACACCGCCCGUCACACCAUGGGAGUGGGUUGCAAAAGAAGUAGGUAG